CGUGGAAGGGCCAUCGCUCAACGGAUAAAAGCUACCCUGGGGAUAACAGGCUUAUCUCCCCCAAGAGUCCACAUCGACGGGGAGGUUUGGCACCUCGAUGUCGGCUCAUCACAUCCUGGGGCUGUAGGAGGUCCCAAGGGUUGGGCUGUUCGCCCAUUAAAGUGGUACGCGAGCUGGGUUCAGAACGUCGUGAGACAGUUCGGUCCCUAUCCGUCGCAGGCGUAGGAAAUUUGAGAAGACCUGUCCUUAGUACGA
rnacentral:rRNA from 1 species